AGCACAAUGAUGAAGUGCAUAGCGGUAAGAAUUUUAAUCUCUAAGUUACUAGUCCGUGGCAUAUAAUGCUGCACUACAAAUGAUUAAAUGCCAAAAGUUUUACCUGUUCUGUUCCAAAACCAGUCACUUUGUGUUUGGAAUUAUUUGGUUAAUUUUCCUCAAUUCUUUUUCUUUUCUCUUUUGUUCCUCAAAUCAGAAACUAGUCUUGUACUUCCUGCUAGUUCAGUGAUUGAAAAGAAGUGACGCCCCUUACCCGUUUACAGUGUAGCCGAGUAAAGUGUGCCACAUUCGGUGUCGGAGCACCCUAUCUUUUCUUGUCCUGUCCAUUGUUAAUUUUAUACUUUAUAGAAAACAUGUGGUAAAAUUUUUUUUUUUUCAUCAAAUUAUUUCUGUGGAAACCCGGACAGAUUUUCCUCUAUUUUAUUAGCAUUUAGCGGGUUUCAAUAUUUACCUGUUAAAAACAAUUUCAUGUGUAUCUCAUAUUUCCAUAUACAUCAUGUUAUAUCAUAUCAUUUUUCCUUAUACAAUUUCAAGAAAAUAUAUUUUUCAUUCAUUCAUUCAUUCAUAUGGAAGUAUAUAUACAAAAAAUCACAACUUUAUUUACAAUCUAAAAUAUAAUUACAAUUCUCAAAAAAGAUUUACAUCAUUUACUUAUGUGCAAUAAACAAAAAUGCAAAACUAAAUAUACAUGAGCCUUACCAAAAAUAUUCUGCUCAGGUGACUAGUAGACACUGUCAGAUCUGAUCAAAUCUCUGUCAGGGCACUACUGCUGCGGCUGCGGUUGUGGCUGUGGCUGUGGCUGUGACUGUGCCUGGUCUCCAGUAUCUAUUUGAUGGAAAACCAACGUGCCAAGCGAAUUGCUCAGUGGUGCAUAACUUUAAAGAAAAAUAACUGAGUAAUUACAUAUAAUAAUUCUAGGCUAAUUUUAUAAAUUCUAAGUCUUUACAGAUUUAUUUGACUUUGGGAUUAAUUUAUUUAUCAGGAUCUUAUCUAUGCAUUUAUUUCAUUUUUAGUCUCUUUAAAAUCAUAUCAGUGCCCAAGUAACCUAUAAUAGACUAUAAAAGCUGAAUACAAGGGAGUAUACUGGUUAGACAACCAUAUGUCUAUCCUAUAUAUAACUGUCAUGUCAGGCACAAGACCAGCGGGCAGACUAUAAAAGCCAUAAAUGAAAUUAGGCACAAUGGCUAACGGGCAAGCAUAUAGCCUGUAGAAUAAUCAUAUCAGACAUAUUUUGUCAAUUAAUAAUUAUUCAUGUAGGCAGUACUGCUAUCUGUAGCCCCUAAUUGGUAUACCAAUCGAUACAAACUAUAUACAUAAUCCUAGAUUUACUUUGGGCAAUUAAGCAUUAUCAAUUACUUAUUAGAAAUUUUAUGUCACUUUGUAGUGGGAAAGUGGGUCCCACAUACCUAUUUCAUGUAAUUCAGUCUUUAGUAACAUGUUAGGGUUAAAACCCUACUAUAAAAUAGCUUGUUUUGUGAACCUUUCUUUAGGUUUAGCUUUAGUCUUUUAACUUUACCUAUCAAUUUGAUCACCUUGUGGCUACUGUUUGGCCGUACUUCCUUCAUGGAAGUUGUUUCUCAAUGUCUUCUCUUUAUUUUCCUUUUUUGAAUCAUGUCAUUUGGAUUUCUAGAACUCAAAUUAUGGUCAAUUAACCAUAACUAGUUCAUUUUCUAAUUUUGGCUCUUUAGGCAAAUUUUGGAAUUACACUUUACCAAUUUAAUUGGACAUAUUAUAGUCACUUUUAGGCUUAGUGUUCUUCAUAGAGUUUGUUGCCCUAUGUCUUAUGGUCACUUAGAAUUUUGGAUUGCAAUUUUUCAAGUUUUGUAUAAUUACUUAUAGUCGAAUCAUUGGCCUGGACUCAAGUACUCUGUGCUAAUAGGAUCCCAGUUCAGGUCAGUGGCUUUGACCCAACUUUUAGGAUUUUUAAAUUUAUAAUUUGAGGAAAGUGUCUAAAACAAAGUUGGAGCUCUAUUUCUUAGGUUUCCAGAACAAUAUGGCUCAUCCCAAUUGGAGUGUCCUAGUGAGAGAUAUGACUAAAAGACUGUCCUGGAGUUAAAUAGUCACUUAAGCAAUUUUCAGAAUUUGUAUACUAACUUGAUUUAGCCAAUUGACCUAAUUCCCUUGAUUUUUGGGUUUUGGUCAAAAUACCAAUAUUGUAGAUUGAUGUCUUGUGGAAAAUUUUCUACUGGUUUAUUGCAUUUGGAUUUCUGUAGAUCAAGUUAUGGCCUCUUUGCAAAAACUGGUCAAGUAAGUCUAUUUCUAGCAAUUUAUGGACAAUAUGGUUUUGGGCAGUUUUGUUAUCUAAUUUGGGCCAACAAUUUGGAUUGGUUUAAGGCAUUUCUGGGCUCUGUGGUCUUCAUGAAAGUUAUAGUCCUAUAUUUAAACUUUCCAAUGGUAUAAAAUUUAGGUCAUUUGGACCUGUUUAGAGAGAGUUAUGGCCAAAUGAAUGUGUACUGUUCAUUUGGUCAAUUUUCUGGGUUCAUCAUUUAGUCAUUUGGAUUGGGACAACAAUUUGGUCAAUUUAUAGGCAAAAUUUGGGCAUGGUCUCUUCAUGAAAAAUGAAGCAUUUUAGGUUUAGUUUCAUCUCCAAUUAGCCUCAUACCAAUUGGAGCAACACAAUUUUGGUUAUGGCUCAAAACAUAUACUGGAUUCAACAAUUCUCAACCUGCAAAGAAAUUUACACUUCCAAUUUCAUUUCCUCUAACUCCCAAACUACAAAUCAACAUUCAUGGCACUUCUAACAUCGUCAAUUCAUCUCAACACAAUCAAAUUCCAGCAACAACACAAGUCUCCAACAAUUAGGUCAAAAUUCUAACUCCAAUUUGUCAUUUACAAUAUACACAUACAAUUACAUUUCUAACAUAUACAACUUCAUCUAUUUAGCCAUUAACAACACUAAACACCAUUUACAUGUAUGAAAACAUUAAACUCUCAUGUUUUCAAAGGCUGCCGAAUUCUAGGGUUUACAAUUACUCAUCAUUUUCUUCAAAUUUCUCAUCAUACCAACUCAAUUCAACCUCAAUUCAAGAUGUACCUAAGGAAGGAAAAGAAAACAUGCACUAACCUCAACUUGUGAGAAUUCUUGUCUUGCCAAACUUCAAUUCUACCUCUUCUAAUUACUAUCACUAGUUUCCUUGGGAUGUGGGGACUAAUUUUUGUGAAGGAACUUGUGAGGAUCAUGUUGAGAAUGGAAGGAAUUGAAACUUGCAUGAAGAGAAAUCAUGAAAGAAAAGAAAGAACAAGGCUCGGCCAUGGGUGAGAUAAAAUGAAGAAGAUGAAAUUAGUGGAUGGAUUUGUCUUCUUAUGCCUAUUUAUACCCCACUAAUAAUUUAACUAUUAAUUAUAAUAAUUAAACUUUUAAUAUUUCAAAUAAUUCCCUUUUAUAUUCCUUUAAUUAUUUUUACAUAUAGUUUCAUAUUUUCAUGGAAUUUUCAAAAUUUUUAAUAUCACUCAUUCUAAUGGACAUUUAGGUCAAAAGUCGACUCUAGGUACCAAAUGACCAAAAUGCCCCUCUUCGGGUUACAGUCAAAUUUUUUCGGUAAUACCGAUUAAAUCCCUAAUCCGACGGUUCUUUUAAUUUUAUAUUGUCUAUUUCAUUUUUAUUUUUACCUGUACCAAUUAACUAAAUUUUUUUUUUGACAUUUUCAAUGUUAUUUAUACCUCAGUAGACUUUUAAUUACAUCCCGGAAAUUAUUUUCUAUGGUUCCUCGCGGGUUUGGGGUUGUCAACUGUCUACGCAGUAACUUUUCAGUACGGUCACUCAUCGCCGUGGUUCCGGCUUUUUUUAAUCUAGUUAUAUUUCAUUUCUUUUAUUUUUCCUUAAUUUUUCUUGGUCUUUAUUUCAUCAAUUUAUGUCUACUCACCCUAGUUUAAGUGUAAUUCCAGACAUUCUGACUGUUCGAACAGACGUUAGUCGUCGGAACAGUAGAACGUACGGAUUACCUACGGAGAGAGUGUUACAAGAAAGAAAAAAAUUCAUUGAAAAGUUCAGUUGAAUUUUAACUAGGGACCCAGAAAAAAGUUUGCUACGCAUCACGAGUCUAAUGUAUUUUGGCAAUUUAUUUUAGCUUGGUGCUGUUGAGUUCCUUCGGAAACCUCUCUCUGAAGACAAACUGAGGAAUAUAUGGCAGCAUGUGGUUCAUAAGGCAUUUAAUGCAGGGGAAAGUGUCCUCUCUGAAUCACUAAAGCCUGUCAAAGAUUCUGUAG
rnacentral:misc_RNA from 1 species